AAGGGAGACCUAAUUCAGGUAGGAGACGAAAAAAAAGUAGUCCCUACCAAGAAUCAAUCCCAAAAGGUCGGAGCGAGGCAAAAUUGGCUUUCAAACUAGGUUCUGGGUUCACACAAGACCUGAAUCAGGAACAAGGGCUAUUAGCUCAGGUGGUUAGAGCGCACCCCUGAUAAGGGUGAGGUCCCUGGUUCGAGUCCAGGAUGGCCCACCUGUACAGGUGGCAAAAACAAAGAAAAGAAGCGAGGAAUCAGCACCUUAUCUUACUUAUAUAGUAAGAGAGAAUGCUGGCUCUGAGUUCAGAGUCCGGAGGAACCUUGAAAACUGCAUAGAGCUAGGUGAAAAAGCCAAAAAAGAAGACCACAA
rnacentral:tRNA from 1 species